rnacentral:rRNA from 1 species
AACGAACGCUGGCGGCAUGCCUAACACAUGCAAGUCGAACGAUGCCUUCGGGCAUAGUGGCGCACGGGUGCGUAACGCGUGGGAAUCUGCCUUUCGGUUCGGAAUAACUCAGGGAAACUUGAGCUAAUACCGGAUAACGUCGCAAGACCAAAGAUUUAUCACCGAAAGAUGAGCCCGCGUAGGAUUAGCUAGUUGGUGAGGUAAAGGCUCACCAAGGCGACGAUCCUUAGCUGGUCUGAGAGGGUGAUCAGCCACACUGGGACUGAGACACGGCCCAGACUCCUACGGGAGGCAGCAGUGGGGAAUAUUGGACAAUGGGCGAAAGCCUGAUCCAGCAAUGCCGCGUGAGUGAUGAAGGCCUUAGGGUUGUAAAGCUCUUUUACCCGGGAAGAUAAUGACGGUACCGGGAGAAUAAGCCCCGGCUAACUCCGUG